CCCUUAGAUGUUCUGGGCUGCACGCGCGCUACACUGAAGCUAUCAACACGUUUUCCCUCCUGAGAAGGGCGGGUAACCUUUUGAAUCAGCUUCGUGGUAGGGAUCGGGGCUUGCAAUUGUUCCCCGUGAACCAGGAAUUCCUAGUAGACGCGAGUCAUAAGCUCGCAUCGAUUAAGUCCCUGCCCUUUGUACACACCGCCCGUCGCUACUACCGAUUGAACGUUUUAGUGAGGCAUUUGGACCGACGCAUCUCAGUUUAACCGCUGGUUUGUGUUGGAAAGACUUCCAAACUUGAGCGUUUAGAGGAAGUAAAAGUCGUAACA
rnacentral:rRNA from 1 species